rnacentral:rRNA from 1 species
ACGGGGGGUGCUAGCGUUAUUCGGAAUCAUUGGGCGUAAAGGGCGCGUAGGCGGUCUUUUAAGUCAGAUGUGAAAGCCCUCGGCUUAACUGAGGAAGUGCAUUUGAUACUAAAAGACUUGAGUAUGGGAGAGGGGAGCGGGAUUCCUGGUGUAGCGGUGAAAUGCUGAGAUACCAGGAGGAACACCGGUGGCGAAGGCGGCUCCCCGGACCAGUUCUGACACUGAGGCGCGAAGGCGUGGGGAGCAAACAG